UACAGAGGUGGCAAGCGUUGUUCGGAAUUACUGGGCGUAAAGGGCGCGUAGGCGGCCUGCUAAGUCGAACGUGAAAUCCCCGGGCUCAACCCGGGAACUGCGUCCGAUACUGACAGGCUUGAAUCCGGGAGAGGGAUGUGGAAUUCCAGGUGUAGCGGUGAAAUGCGUAGAUAUCUGGAGGAACAUCGGUGGCGAAGGCGGCAUCUUGGACCGGUAUCGACGCUGAGGCGCGAAAGCCAGGGGAGCAAACGGG
rnacentral:rRNA from 1 species